UCGUUUGACUUCCUGGUUCUAUGAAGCCACUCCCUCUAAAAUACGCAAUGUGCUCAGAUUGGUUAGGUGGCCCAGUGUAUUGUGAUUCGCUGAAGCGUCCGGAAACGCCACGCCCCUUACCAUUAGUUGUUACAUGUGCUUUAGUGGAAAUGUAAAUAAUGGCGUCUAUAUUGCUGUAUCAAAUUGAGCCGAAUCAGAUCCAGAUGAAGAGGGUCAAGCAGAACCUCUGCAAUCGCGGCUUUUAAAGGACGUUUAUGAAUGUGACCCCAGUUGAGGUCAUUAUGGCCAGUUGUGACACAUCCACAUCCACCACGUCUGCACACGGCUUAAACUACACAGUGGUAACAGCCGUAUCAGACGCGGUGCCCAGAGAGCUGCAGAGACCAUGGGAAGAGACCUCAGUCUGCCAGACGUCAAUGUCUGCAGGUUUGGCUGGGGUGGACUGCGAUAGAGAGGAUUUCUCCCAUUCCCUGCGAGGAAGAGCAGCACCAGAUGUCUUCCUCAUCCACUGUGACGGAAACGAUAUAGGGGAGGUCAGCAGCGUACAGCUGGUGAAUGCCAUGAAGGAGGAAGUGCACCAGCUUAAGCUCCGGCACCCUGGCAUGAAGAUCAUGUUGUCGGAUGUGACCCAGAGGUGCCGGUGGAAGGCUGGUGUGAAUCCGAUAUGAAGCUGAUGGGUCUGCCUAAACCCAGGAGUGAUGGACUGAAGAAUUUUCAAUGCUCUUAUCCAGUUUUUUUUUUUUUCCUUCUUUUUUUUUCUUAUAAUCAAUAAAAAGGUGAUUUACAAAUUCUGAGUUGAAAGUCAUUUUCUUCACAGUAGAAAUAUUUUGUCAUUUAAUUUAAAUUAUAUUAGGUCAGGUACAGGUUUACUAAAACAUAACUGGGCAGGGUUUGAAAGUUUCCUUUGCAAAUCAGUACAGGUUGGUAUUGAAAAGUCGUUUAUGAAUGUA